rnacentral:rRNA from 1 species
UACAGAGAGUGCAAGCGUUAAUCGGAAUUACUGGGCGUAAAGCGCGCGUGGGUGGAUACUUAAGUCGGAUGUGAAAUCCCUGGGCUUAACCUAGGAAUUGCAUCCGAUACUGAGUGUCUAGAGUAUGGUAGAGGGAAGUGGAAUUUCCGGUGUAGCGGUGAAAUGCGUAGAUAUCGGAAGGAACAUCAGUGGCGAAGGCGACUUCCUGGACCAAUACUGACACUAAGGCGCGAAAGCGUGGGUAGCAAACAGG